rnacentral:tRNA from 1 species
GAGGGGAUAGCUCAGUGGUAGAGUAUGCUUGCUUAGCAUGCAAGAGGUCCUAGGUUCAAUCCCCAGUGCCUCCA